rnacentral:rRNA from 1 species
GACGAACGCUGGCGGCGUGCUUAACACAUGCAAGUCGAACGCUGAAGCUCAGCUUUUGUUGGGUGGAUGAGUGGCGAACGGGUGAGUAACACGUGAGUAACCUGCCUCCUUCUUUGGGAUAACGCCCGGAAACGGGUGCUAAUACUGGAUAUUCACUGGUCUUCGCAGGGGGGUUGGUGGAAGGGGCUUUUCUGGUGGGGGAUGGGGUCGCGGCCUAUCAGCUUGUUGGUGUGGUGAUGGCCUACCAAGGGUAUGACGGGUCGGCGGGCUGGGAGGGUGACUGGGCACAUGGCGACUGACAUUGGGACUAGACUCCGACGCGGAGCAGCAGUGGGGAAAACUGUAGAAUGGGCGGAAGCAUGAGGCAGCGCCGGCGCGUGAGGGACGGAGGCCGUCGGGUUGUGAUCCGCGUUCGCUCACGGUUAAGCCGCAACAAUGGCGGUAGUGAGGGUAGUGGGUAAAGAAGCGCCGGCUAACUACGUG